AGUCGGUUGAGAAGCGGAUCGAGAAUGAUUGUUUGAAUAUAAGUCGUACAAAAUUGGAAUGAAACGAUGAACAAUAUACAGAUCUUUAGACAGGCUCAAAUAAUGUAUGUUUAGGAGCAACUUGAAGAUAAUGGAGAUUUAUCUUCUUAAUAUAAAACCUCUAAAAUUGGGAACAGUAUGUCAUAUAUGCAUGAACUUGAUUGAUGUAUUGAUGUAUAUGAACUGAAGAUAUAAUGAAUUCAAUCAGGUUAAAAAAAAUUGUAUGUGCAAAAGCGACUCGAAGACGAUUUAGAUUUGUCUCCUGAAUAUAAAACUUCCAAGAAGUACAUCAUAUAUGAAUAUCCUGUAUCCUCGCAUUUGAUGUAUUGAACUGGCGAUAGAAUGAAAUCAGUCAGUGUUAAAAAUGUAUGUGUAAAAGCGACUUUAAGAUGAUGGAGAUUUGU